GGGAGCAUUCUGUGAUUGCGACCAAUCUGCUAUCAGCUGCUUCGCUAAUACCUCCUUCCAGCCUGACCUGCACAACCACUGCCCAGCUCAUUUGGUGGAUAGAGGGGCUUCAAACACAACAGGUCAAGAUAAAAUCAAGAACCAACUCUUCACACACAAACCCCACACACUAAUUCAUCAAUCAACAGACACAAACACAGCCCAAACACACACACCAAUCACGCUACUUAUAACAGA